GAAAGCAGGGGAUCGCAAGACCUUGCGCUUUUGGAGUGGCCGAUGCCUGAUUAGCUAGUUGGUGGGGUAAGAGCCUACCAAGGCGACGAUCAGUAGUUGGUCUGAGAGGACGACCAGCCACACUGGGACUGAGACACGGCCCAGACUCCUACGGGAGGCAGCAGUGGGGAAUUUUGGACAAUGGGCGGAAGCCUGAUCCAGCAAUGCCGCGUGAGUGAAGAAGGCCUUCGGGUUGUAAAGCUCUUUCAGUCGAGAAGAAAAGGUUGUGACUAAUAAUCGCAACUUAUGACGGUAUCGACAGAAGAAGCACCGGCUAACUACGUGCCAGCAGCCGCGGUAAUACGUAGGGUGCGAGCGUUAAUCGGAAUUACUGGGCGUAAAGGGUGCGCAGGCGGCUCUGUAAGUCAG
rnacentral:rRNA from 1 species